UACGAAGGUGUCGAACGUUGACCGGAAUAACUGGGCGUAAAGGGCGCGUAGGCGGUCGGGUAAGUGGGAUGUGAAAGCUCUGGGCUCAACCCAGGAAUUGCAUUCCAUACUGCUCGACUUGAGUUCGGUAGAGGAGGGCGGAAUUCCAGGUGUAGCGGUGAAAUGCGUAGAUAUCUGGAGGAACACCCGUGGCGAAGGCGGCUCUCUGGUCCGAUACUGACGCUGAGGCGCGAAAGCUAGGGUAGCAAAC
rnacentral:rRNA from 1 species